ACCCAACUGGCUCAGUUGUUGGAGCAUGUGACUCUUGAUCUCAAGGUUGUGCGUUCAAGCCCCACGUUGGGUG
rnacentral:tRNA from 1 species